rnacentral:misc_RNA from 1 species
GUCUCCAUAACCAACAGCAUCUGUAAUAACAUUAACAAAUAAAAAACUUUCACAAACUUUAUAUUUGACCAGUAUCUAUGCAUUGUCAUAUCCUUGUGUUGUAACUCCUAAAUUUUCGUACCCUUAACAAUUUAAUACUGAAACUUAUCAGAAAAAUAAGUUUGUUGGAUAAGGCUGUCUUCUUUCUCAACCAUCAUCAAAGGAGCUAAAUCUUAGCAAUUAGGCACAAAUUAAAUCUUAGAAUCCAAGGAAUUUGAGAAAAAACUGUUGCUACAUCAUACCCAAAGGCAUUUGCUACAUAAGGUUCAUGCGAGUACAGAACUUUUUCCAUAAUGGUACCUUCUUUUAAAAGAGUUGCGUCAUUUGAGUAAUUAAUUCUAAAAUUUAGCAUAUCAGUGCCUAGCAAGAGAAAAUGCACAACAUAGCAUACAGGACGUCAAGAAGCUUAGAUCAAGAAAAUUAAAUCAGUUUCACAUUUUUGUUCACAAUUAAUUAAAGUACCAAAAGACAAGGCUCAGCAUCAACCAGAACUUCAUUGAACCCCUUAAAGAAUGAUGUCACUAUUCAGAGACCCAAUCCACCUUGGAUCAAAUUAGAUGAAACUAUCAUGAGAAUCGUGUUUUGGUUUACUGAAUCCAACUAGGAUAUGCAAAUGGCAUCCUUUCGUUUAGUGUCAAGAGUAGAAUUCAUUAAUCACAUUAUUCAAGACAUUAAGAUGCCAAAAGCCAUAUGCAUAGCAAUAAAUAAUUACCUCCAUCAUCAAAGAGGAGCUUUA